rnacentral:rRNA from 1 species
GGACGGGUGGGUCGGUCGUGCCUCCGGUACGUACUGGUUCUACCAGUUCCUCCCUUCUGACGAACCACGAUGUCAUUAAUUUGGUGUCGUGGGGAAUCAGGACUGUUACUUUGAAAAAAUUAGAGUGUUUAAAGCAGGCUAAAGCUUGAAUAGAUUAGCAUGGAAUAACGAAAUAGGACGUUUGAUCUUAUUUUGUUGGUUUCUAGGAUCGACGUA